ensembl:lincRNA
AUGCCGCCCUAUGGGGAGAGGCCAACAGCCAUUGCCCUGCUCAGAGCAGGGACCGGACACAGCGGGCCUGAGGCUUUAGCAGCUUCUCCAGCCCCGUGGGUGGGAGACCCCCCUGGUUCUGUGUCCCUGGCUCAGGGCUGCUCGGACCUCCCUCUCCCGUGGCACUUUGACCAAACUGCCAGGCUUCUGCAGACCUGCGGGGCUUCUUGGCGGCCCUUCCACUUAAACGCCCCUCCCUGCCUGCGCUCAGCAGCCCAGGACUCGGGGCUCCUGCUCCUGCUCCGGCCCUGCAGGCCAGCGCGACCCCGCCCAGCCCACACCGCUCAGCCUUGCUCCGGGAGUUGGAAGCCGAACCGAAGCCAUCUGGCCGGCCUCAAGCCUGCGUCCAGUCGCCUUAGCAGGACGAGGUCCUGGCCCGCUCACCCACACCCUCUCCUCGGCCUGGCCCGGGACGUCCACUCUGCUCUGCUCGCUGGCCCAACACCGCUGCUCAUCCCCGGUGGACAGUACGUUGACUGCCUUCCCUUUUUGACACCUUCCCACUCCGUCUCUGCAGACUGAGAGAGACUGCAGACUAACCUGCUGGCGUUGUAGGAGAGCCUUCCUUCUCCCCCGGAGACUCCACCUCGCCGGCCACGGGAGUCUCUAUCACGUCCUGGGUGUGUCCAACCCAUGUGCCUGCUCAGCCACAUCGAGGUGAGCCAAGCAGUGUUCUUGGAAGCCUGGAAACACUGAGACUUGGGAACGUGCCUUACUUUUCAUCCAGAGAUUUGCUGAUCGUAGCCACUGUUGGAAGUAUGAAGGCAGCUGUGAAAGAAGUGCUUUACGUCCUUGGUUCUGUCCAAAGCGAUAAACAGUCCUGGAAUCACAAAUGCCUCAGUGUCACUUUUCAUUUCCCAGCGACUUCCCUAUCUGGAGAGGAAGUCACCCAGGGAGACAGAGACCUCAGGGCCUUGUGUCACCCUGCGGCCCCCAGCUCGGGCAAGAGCUGACUGACAGCAGUGGGCACCUGUCGGAGGGUGCGUGGAAGCAUCCCCAGAGCCUUUCCUCCGGAAUUCUGAGUGCAGGGACAGCGUUGGGGCCCCGGGGGCUGCUCAGGUCAGCCACAGGGUCCCCUGGCGGAGAUCCUGGGUUCCUGCUGUCCCCCCCGCCCCCGCAUCCUUCUUCUGUGUCCUUUCAGUAAAAACCUCUUUUAUCUGACUUGGCGAGAGACUGUUUCACCCAAACCCAAGGAACAUUCGCUGGCACCAAGCGACGGCAGAGAACGGCAACGCAGCAGAGCGCCUGGCAGCCUUGGUGGGCAGGCGUGUGGGCUCAGGGUGACUCGGCUGUCAGCGGCAGUGCGGAGUGCUGUGCACGGGGGCUGGGAGAGGCACGAUGCGCCUGAAAGGGGAGGGGUGGGGUGCGUGAAGCGUCGCUACACUUCAUAGAAGAGACGCACAGAACAGAGACGCAGGGGUCUCCAGGGGAGAGCAACAGAAGACUAAAAUUAAAAGAGCUACAGCAAACACUACCUGUUUGACCCUGAGGCGGCCUUGCCUUCCCUGGCAACCCCAAAUGCAGUGUUCUCUCAGGAGAAAAACAGGGACUGCAUGCUAAUGAGCGUCCGACUUUCCAUCCUCAUGGUCACAGAAAGGAGAGCCGCUAACACUCUCAAUCGCCCGGGUCACCUUCUGGGCUGCUUGUUUGUUUUAAAUGCAGCAG